rnacentral:rRNA from 2 species
UUUAUAUGAGAGUUUGAUCCUGGCUCAGGAUGAACGCUGGCGGCGUGCCUAAUACAUGCAAGUCGAACGAGUUCUCGUUGAUGAUUGGUGCUUGCACCGAGAUUCAACAUGGAACGAGUGGCGGACGGGUGAGUAACACGUGGGUAACCUGCCCUUAAGUGGGGGAUAACAUUUGGAAACAGAUGCUAAUACCGCAUAGAUCCAAGAACCGCAUGGUUCUUGGCUGAAAGAUGGCGUAAGCUAUCGCUUUUGGAUGGACCCGCGGCGUAUUAGCUAGUUGGUGAGGUAAUGGCUCACCAAGGCGAUGAUACGUAGCCGAACUGAGAGGUUGAUCGGCCACAUUGGGACUGAGACACGGCCCAAACUCCUACGGGAGGCAGCAGUAGGGAAUCUUCCACAAUGGACGCAAGUCUGAUGGAGCAACGCCGCGUGAGUGAAGAAGGCUUUCGGGUCGUAAAACUCUGUUGUUGGAGAAGAAUGGUCGGCAGAGUAACUGUUGUCGGCGUGACGGUAUCCAACCAGAAAGCCACGGCUAACUACGUGCCAGCAGCCGCGGUAAUACGUAGGUGGCAAGCGUUAUCCGGAUUUAUUGGGCGUAAAGCGAGCGCAGGCGGUUUUUUAAGUCUGAUGUGAAAGCCCUCGGCUUAACCGAGGAAGCGCAUCGGAAACUGGGAAACUUGAGUGCAGAAGAGGACAGUGGAACUCCAUGUGUAGCGGUGAAAUGCGUAGAUAUAUGGAAGAACACCAGUGGCGAAGGCGGCUGUCUGGUCUGUAACUGACGCUGAGGCUCGAAAGCAUGGGUAGCGAACAGGAUUAGAUACCCUGGUAGUCCAUGCCGUAAACGAUGAAUGCUAGGUGUUGGAGGGUUUCCGCCCUUCAGUGCCGCAGCUAACGCAUUAAGCAUUCCGCCUGGGGAGUACGACCGCAAGGUUGAAACUCAAAGGAAUUGACGGGGGCCCGCACAAGCGGUGGAGCAUGUGGUUUAAUUCGAAGCAACGCGAAGAACCUUACCAGGUCUUGACAUCUUUUGAUCACCUGAGAGAUCAGGUUUCCCCUUCGGGGCAAAAUGACAGGUGGUGCAUGGUUGUCGUCAGCUCGUGUCGUGAGAUGUUGGGUUAAGUCCCGCAACGAGCGCAACCCUUAUGACUAGUUGCCAGCAUUUAGUUGGGCACUCUAGUAAGACUGCCGGUGACAAACCGGAGGAAGGUGGGGAUGACGUCAAAUCAUCAUGCCCCUUAUGACCUGGGCUACACACGUGCUACAAUGGAUGGUACAACGAGUUGCGAGACCGCGAGGUCAAGCUAAUCUCUUAAAGCCAUUCUCAGUUCGGACUGUAGGCUGCAACUCGCCUACACGAAGUCGGAAUCGCUAGUAAUCGCGGAUCAGCACGCCGCGGUGAAUACGUUCCCGGGCCUUGUACACACCGCCCGUCACACCAUGAGAGUUUGUAACACCCGAAGCCGGUGGCGUAACCCUUUUAGGGAGCGAGCCGUCUAAGGUGGGACAAAUGAUUAGGGUGAAGUCGUAACAAGGUAGCCGUAGGAGAACCUGCGGCUGGAUCACCUCCUUUCUAAGGAA